AGCAAGUGAUUAAUUGUGGUCAAAAGGCAAGUCCAAAGGUUAGUGGCGUAUCGACUUAACGUAUCAUAUGCUUGAAAGGUCCAAACUUCUAAUCUGAAAUCCUGAUGUACGCAAAUAAUUCCUGCUAAAAUCCAUCCUGUCAUUAUUAUGUGCAUGAAGGUGUGGGAAAAAAAUGCUAAACAUGUUUUCUUCCAACUAAAAGCAUGCCAAACUGCGCAAUUGUUUGGCAUGAUGAUCUUACAGAGAAUUUACACUUUCGAACCUGCAAAAAUCCUCUUUCUUCGAUUUAUCUAGGAAUGAUCUUGGAUUACAGGAAAACUGAAGCUAUUGAAAGCAAGAAGAGUGAUGUUAUAGGUGGUAUGUAGCAAUCCAGCUAUUAGAAUAGGCUAUAUUCGACGGGAAGUAGAAAGAGUAAAAUAUGUUGGUUUCUAUGAAUGGUUUAUGAAGAAGUAAUUGUUCAUUUUACCAUUAAUUGUGAAAGACCAAAGUAUUAACUUACAUUGUGCUGGUGUAUCAUGUCAAAGCAUUUCAUGCAUCUUAUGUAUAUGACUUUUCAUUAUUUAUUUUCACUGGAAAUUCAAAUAAAAAGUAUAUUGUUAGUACUAUGCUUUGUUGUCGAAUGGCAUAACUUCCCCUUUGGAUCGUCAACAUAGUAGUUCUGAGCCUCAAUUUGGUUGUUCCUCCGACUGAGACUGUAGUUUUACUACAAGGAAGUGUGUUUGCUCUUUCGCAUUUGAUUAUUUUGUUAAGAUGGUAACUAACUUUCUAUGUGUGGCCACACCAGGAGUGACAGGAUUAGGAAUGAGGAUAUUCGGGAUAAGGUAGGGGUGGCCUCGGUGGAAGACAAGAUGCGAGAAGCGAGAUUGAGAUGGUUUGGACAUGUGAAGAGGAGAGACACAGAUGCCCCAGUGCGGAGGUGUGAGAGGUUGGCCAUGGAUGGUUUCAGACGAGCUUCAGAGCUUGGUUCACUGCAAAAAAAAAAAAAAAAAAAAAAAAAAAAAAAAGCUUCAGAGCUCAAAGUUUGCUCUUCCAAGCUCGGCGGCGGUGACUGCUCUUCCAAGCUCGGCAGCGACUUCUCUUCCAAGUUCCGACGGCGACAGAAUUGGCUUAGGAAAGAGACUAAAUCUAUUAGUGUGGAAGAAAGUUUGGAUCAUCUUGAGGAACUUGAACUUGGUAAGAUUUUGUAUUUUUUUUAUGUGUUUUAGUGAAAAAAUUACAUACUUUUUUAUGUUGUAUGACAUAUUUGAUUAAAUUAUCUUUAGACAUGGCAAAUAGUGGAAGAGAUCCUUGCAUUGUUGAUGUAUGAUUGCAAUUUGCUUCUUUGUUACUAGUGUUCAACCAUGCCUUCUAGAGCUCGCUCACAAGUUUGGGAACAUUUUGUGCGGUGCGAUACUUAAUUGUAAUAGAGCAAAAGACACAUCUAGCUUAAUGAAGCAUAUUAAGAAAUGUCUUGACUCUUGAAGAUAUGCGGAUUCACCUUCAACUUUAAGCUUAUGUUUUGAAUUUGGUAAAUUUCGGACUUAAUUAUGAUUGUUAUGUGAGACGACGGAUUUAACACUUGGUGUUACAACUUAUGUUUUGUAUUUGGAGCUAAAAUUUAGGACAUUUAUGUUGUUUGGCCGUUUGGCUGCUACUCAUUUUAUCGUUAUGUUGUUUGUGUUGCUUGUUUUUGUCU